AUUUAUGUAGUAUAAAAAUUAUAUUUGACUUCCAAUCAAAAGAUCUAAGAUAUAGUAUAAAUA
rnacentral:tRNA from 1 species